GGGUUGUGAGGUUAAGCGACUAAGCGUACACGGUGGAUGCCCUGGCAGUCAGAGGCGAUGAAGGACGUGCUAAUCUGCGAUAAGCGUCGGUAAGGUGAUAUGAACCGUUAUAACCGGCGAUUUCCGAAUGGGGAAACCCAGUGUGUUUCGGCACACUAUCAUUAACUGAAUCCAUAGGUUAAUGAGGCGAACCGGGGGAACUGAAACAUCUAAGUACCCMGAGGAAAAGAAAUCAACCGAGAUUCCCCCAGUAGCGGCGAGCGAACGGGGAGGAGCCCAGAGCCUGAAUCAGUGUGUGUGUUAGUGGAAGCGUCUGGAAAGGCGCGCGAUACAGGGUGACAGCACCGUACACAAAAAUGCACAUAUUGUGAGCUCGAUGAGUAGGGCGGGACACGUGGUAUCCUGUCUGAAUAUGGGGGGACCAUCCUCCAAGGCUAAAUACUCCUGACCGACCGAUAGUGAACCAGUAC
rnacentral:rRNA from 1 species